rnacentral:rRNA from 1 species
UACAAAAAAAACAAGCGUUGUUCACAAUUACUGGACGUAAAGAGCGCGUAGGCGGUUUGCUAAGUUGAAUGUGAAAACUCUGGGCUUAACCCAGAGCCUGCAUUCAAUACUGGCAGGCUGGAGUUCUGGAGGGGAUAGCGGAAUUCCUGGUGUAGCGGUGAAAUGCGUAGAUAUCAGGAGGAACACCGGUGGCGAAGGCGGCUAUCUGGACAGAAACUGACGCUGAGGCGCGAAAGCUAGGGGAGCAAACAGG